UAGGGAACAAGGCUUAUCAAUGUUCUUCAAAAUCAUUAACCUGGGCUGUGUAGCAUAACCAUUAUAACAAGGCACCCAUGUCCUAUAUAGGUCCAACUCUGUCCGAGCUGAAAGGGCCCAGUGUACAUAGCCGCACGACCCAGAGAAUAAUCAUGUAUAUUAUAUGCAUUGUGGGGGACUUGAACCUCCCGACAUAUCCCAAGAGUGACUUAAGCACUCCGUCAAUAACAUGGGGGAUUCAAACCUCCCAAUCAUAUAAUAAGGGAG
rnacentral:lncRNA from 1 species